AUGACAUGGUCAAUAAGUGUGGCUCUGAUUUCAUUUGAAACACACGUGUACCCUUUCCUUCUACCUCUCCUCCCUCCUCUUACACCUUGCCCUCCUCUUCCUCCCUGUCCACCUCUUAUAUUUUCUACUCAUCUCAUUCCACUAUACCAUUGCCCUCCAAUCUAUCCAUCUCUUCUCCCUCUACUCCUCUAUCUUCUCCUCUUCCUACAUCUUCAGCUCUUCUUUCUCAUUCUCCUACAUCCUCAGCUCUUCUUUCUCCUUCUUCUACAUCCUCAGCUCUUCUUUCUCCUGCUCCUACAUCUCAGCUCCUCUUUCUCUUGCUCCUACAUCUUCAGCUCUUCUUUCUCCUGCUCCUACCUCCUCAGCUCUUCUUUCUCUUUCUCCUACACCCAUAGCUCUUCUUUCUCUUUCUCCUACAUCUUUAGCUCUUCUUGCUCCUUCUCCUACAUCUUCAGCUCUUCUUGCUCCUUCUCCUACAUCUUCAGCAAGAAUAGCUCUUCUUUCUCUUUCUCCUACACCCAUAGCUCUUCUUUCUCUUUCUCCUACACCCAUAGCUCUUCUUUCUCUUUCUCCUACAUCUUUAGCUCUUCUUGCUCCUUCUCCUACAUCUUCAGCUCUUCUUGCUCCUUCUCCUACAUCUUCAGCAAGAAUAGCUCUUCUUUCUCUUUCUCCUUCACCCAUAGCUCUUCUUUCUCUUUCUCCUACAUCUUUAGCAAGAAUAGCUCUUCUUUCUCCUGCAUCCAUAGCUCUUCUUUCUCUUUCUCCUACACCCAUAGCUCUUCUUUCUCUUUCUCCGACAUCUUCAGCUCUUCUUGCUCUUUCUCCAUCUCCUCUUCCUCUUCUUCUCCAUCUACCCUGUCCACCACCUCUCACUCUUGCACCUCUUCCUUUUCCACUGCUCAUUCUUAUUAUUUUUAUUGUCUUUUCUUCUCAUUCUUCUUUGUUGAUUUUCUCUUCUCCUUUUGUAGUUGUUAUAAUUAAGACAGCUGUGUGAACAAUUAGGAAAUUGUUUUUUUUUCUGUGUUGUGUGGAUUACUAACUCAUCAGAUAUCAAUUUGGGGUUACAGUUUAUGCCUAUUGCUUACACACGUUUUGCUAAAUUUGGCUCAUUGUCUCAGUGUCAAAACUCUACACACAAGCAAAUAAGACACAACACUGGGAAAUAAACCAUUCACAUCUAUGUCCA
ensembl:lncRNA